rnacentral:rRNA from 1 species
AACGUACGCUGGCGGCACGCCUAACACAUGCAAGUCGAACGAAGUAGCAAUACUUAGUGGCAGUACGGGUGAGUAACAUGUGGGUAUCUGCCCUUUGGCCUGGAAUAACACGAGGAAACUUGUGCUAAUACCGGAUAAGUCUUUACGGAGAAAGCUUUAUGCACCAUUGGAUGAGCCUGCACUUGAUUAGUUUGUUGGUGGGGUAAUGGCCUACCAAGACUGUGAUCAAUAGCUGAUUUGAGAGGAUGAUCAGCCACAUUGGGACUGAGACACGGCCCAAACUCCUACGGGAGGCAGCAGUGGGGAAUCUUGCACAAUGGAGGAAACUCUGAUGCAGCGAUGCCGCGUGAGUGAAGAAGGCCCUUGGGUUGUAAAGCUCUUUCGUCGGGGAAGAAAAUGACUGUACCCGAAUAAGAAGGUCCGGCUAACUUCGUGCCAGCAGCCGCGGUAAUACGAAGGGACCUAGCGUAGUUCGGAAUUACUGGGCUUAAAGAGUUCGUAGGUGGUUGAAAAAGUUAGUGGUGAAAUCCCAGAGCUUAACUCUGGAACUGCCAUUAAAACUUUUCAGCUAGAGUAUGAUAGAGGAAAGCAGAAUUUCUAGUGUAGAGGUGAAAUUCGUAGAUAUUAGAAAGAAUACCAAUUGCGAAGGCAGCUUUCUGGAUCAUUACUGACACUGAGGAACGAAAGCAUGGGUAGCGAAGAGGAUUAGAUACCCUCGUAGUCCAUGCCGUAAACGAUGUGUGUUAGACGUUGGAAAUUUUUUUUCAGUGUCGCAGGGAAACCGAUAAACACACCGCCUGGGGAGUACGACCGCAAGGUUAAAACUCAAAUGAAUUGACGGGGACCCGCACAAGUAGUGGAGCAUGUGGUUUAAUUCGAAGAUACGCGCAGAACCUUACCAACACUUGACAUGUUCGUCGCGACUCUAAGAGAUUAGAGUUUUCGGUUCGGCCGGACGAAACACAGGUGCUGCAUGGCUGUCGUCAGCUCGUGUCGUGAGAUGUUGGGUUAAGUCCCGCAACGAGCGCAACCCUCACUUUUAGUUGCCAUCAUUAAGUUGGGCACUCUGAAAGAACUGCCAGUGAUAAGCUGGAGGAAGGUGGGGAUGACGUCAAGUCCUCAUGGCCCUUACGUGUUGGGCUACACACGUGCUACAAUGGUAUCUACAACAGGAAGCAAGACUGCGAAGUUAAGCAAAUCCCUAAAAGAUACCUCAGUUCGGAUUGCACUCUGCAACUCGAGUGCAUGAAGCUGGAAUUACUAGUAAUCGUGGAUCAGCGUGCCACGGUGAAUGCGUUCCCGGGUCU